rnacentral:rRNA from 1 species
CCACCAGACUCCUACGGGAGGCAGCAGUGGGGUAUAUUGCACAAUGGGGGAAACCCUGAUGCAGCGACGCCGCGUGAGUGAAGAAGUAUUUCGGUAUGUAAAGCUCUAUCAGCAGGGAAGAGAUAGCGACCUUUGGGUCGCCAGACGGUACCUGACUAAGAAGCCCCGGCUAACUACGUGCCAGCAGCCGCGGUAAUACGUAGGGGGCAAGCGUUAUCCGGAUUUACUGGGUGUAAAGGGAGCGUAGGCGGCAGCACAAGUCUGAAGUGAAAUGCCGGGGCUUAACCCCGGAACUGCUUUGGAAACUGUGCAGCUAGAGUGCAGGAGAGGUAAGUGGAAUUCCUGGUGUAGCGGUGAAAUGCGUAGAUAUUAGGAGGAACACCAGUGGCGAAGGCGG